AUUGAACGCUGGCGGCAGGCCUAACACAUGCAAGUCGAGCGGAUGAAGGGAGCUUGCUCCUGGAUUCAGCGGCGGACGGGUGUGUAAUGCCUAGGAAUCUUCCUGGUAGUGGGGGAUAACGUCCGGAAACGGGCGCUAAUACCGCAUACGUCCUGAGGGAGCAAGUGGGGGCUCUUCGGACCUCACGCUAUCAGAUGAGCCUAGGUCGGAUUAGCUAGUUGGCGGGGUAAAGGCCUUCCAAGGCGACGAUCCGUAACUGGUCUGAGAGGAUGAUCAGUCACACUGGAACUGAGACACGAUCCAGACUCCGACGGGAGGCCGCAGUCGGGAAUCUUAGACGAUGGACGAGAGCCUGAUCCAGCCAUGCCGCGUGUGUGAAGAAGGUCUUCGGAUUGUAAAGCAAUUUAAGUUGGGAGGAAGGGCAGUAAGUUAAUACCUUGCUGUUUUGACGUUACCAGCAGAAGAAGCACCGGCUAACUUCGUG
rnacentral:rRNA from 1 species